ACGAACGCUGGCGGCGUGCUUAACACAUGCAAGUCGAACGGAAAGGCCCUGCUUUUGUGGGGUGCUCGAGUGGCGAACGGGUGAGUAACACGUGAGUAACCUGCCCUUGACUUUGGGAUGACUUCAGGAAACUGGGGCUAAUACCGGAUAGGAGCUCCUGCUGCAUGGUGGGGGUUGGAAAGUUUCGGCGGUUGGGGAUGGACUCGCGGCUUAUCAGCUUGUUGGUGGGGUAGUGGCUUACCAAGGCUUUGACGGGUAGCCGGCCUGAGAGGGUGGCCGGCCACAUUGGGACUGAGAUACGGCCCAGACUCCUACGGGAGGCAGCAGUGGGGAAUAUUGCACAAUGGGCGGAAGCCUGAUGCAGCAACGCCGCGUGCGGGAUGACGGCCUUCGGGUUGUAAACCGCUUUCGCCUGUGACGAAGCGUGAGUGACGGUAAUGGGUAAAGAAGCACCGGCUAACUACGUG
rnacentral:rRNA from 1 species